rnacentral:lncRNA from 1 species
CUCCAGUUUGUGUAGAACAUCAUCCAAGAGAGGAAGAAAGCUAUGGCGUCCAUGACCCAAUUCAUUAUGUGUGUUCUUCUAGCUUUCCUUCUCUUGGUCGCCAUGGAAGUUGCUGCUGCUCGGCAACUGGCUCAAAGGAGUGAGACCUUCACUCUAUGUCUCCCACAUGCAUUUGCACACUAUUUUUUUUUCUUCUUGAAUUACAAUUUGGAGCAUUUGAAACAUGCUAAAUGCUGCACAUUUUCUCAUUUCAGGUGGGUACACGGGACAGUUGCCGACGGGCCCACCUGCAUGUGCAUAUGGCACUAAGUGUCCACCAUAGAUCGAAGAACAUGCUAAGAGUCACCUUCAUAUAUAUAUAUAUAUAUAUGAUAUACACAUGUAUUGUUAACUUCCCACCUAUGUAAUUUACGUACCAUAAAUAUAUAUAGGUCUACAAGAAAUAAAAGAUGUGCACGUUACAUAGAUACGACACGAGCAUACCUAAGUACCAAGCUACUGGCUAGCAGAAUGGGAACUGCAGAUAUAUCUCUCCCUAUGGUGUGGAUUGAUAUAUGAUGCUUUCUUUAUAUCAUGUAGAUAACUUCUGUUGAAGCAUGAGAGAGUUUACAUAUAUAUGUUGGAAGAAAGUUCAAUUUUGAACGGUAAGUUGUAUUCAAAAUCCGACGUGGUUGUUAAGUCCAUAUCGCCAUGUUAAUUGACAACGACUAUGCGAUUCUUCAUAAUGGGUUCAGGUAAAUUUGAAGAUGCGAAAUAUCUGAGCCCUUUGAUUCGGCUCAGCGCUCAAAUAUGGGAGAAUUUGGAAUAAAAGUAUUUCUGUGCUCCCACGUAGGUACACCUUCUAUCCUGGACACCCAGCUUGCAUCAACAUCCGUGCUCUCUCACCAUAGGAAUUUCACUUUUUUGUUUCUACCAAACAAAACAACAUUUGAAGCUACAACUUAGAAAGUCAACAACAAACAAAUACUACAUAUUCACAAAAUGUACAUUUAAUUCUGCACGUUUAAAUAUCUAAUUGAUAUGAUUUAAUAUCUACGGUGCGCCAAAAAAUCAGAAAACACAUAGGCACAUGGUAGUGCAUAUGUAGUGGACCAGCGAAGUUUUAUGUUCCAAUGUUUCUCAGUUUGGGAGAAACAAAAAAUAGGAAGUGAUAUGCACAGAUCUCAACACAAAUAUGCACUGUCUAUAUAGAAGGUGUACCUGCCAUGUUUAUAACUUUGCUGGAUUGACGAGCAUCCAGCUUGCAUGUGAAUAAGCUCGUAGACGAUGUAUCUUUGAUUGGUAUUUAGACAUGAUGGGCUUCACUAAAAAAGGGCACUGGAGGCUUAAGAUCCAGAAAUACGGAGAUGACUUUGGUGCCUAAAAUAUCUUGAUCUUGUGCACUUCUCUGAAGGAGUUGUAAAUCAAAAUGGGACCCACAAUGUCUCUACAGAAACUAUAUAUUGACCAUUCGUUCAAUAGAUUUUCCAAAACGAAAAUGAUCCUUUGCUCCAUCACAAGAAGAAACAUAUAAAUAUCUCAAACAAAACGUGGACACCAUAAAUACAUCUAACCAACUAUAUCGUUUUCAAGUGAUCUGUGUAUACUCAAUGGAGACUAGUCAACAAUCUAUAAGACAAACACUCCAUGCCAGUACCAGACUUUUCUGUUUCAUCAGUGACUUUGACAUCGAAUGCUCAUCAACAAAGAGACUUUGUGCAGCAUCUAGUGAUAUGGGAGCUCAUGAGCAAUCCGGCGAAAUGUGUCCCUGUGGGAAGGAAGAAUCCUACAAACAAAAACUUAGAUUGAUUGAAUUUGGAUUACAAUACAAAAUCUAAUGAUAAUCGAUCAAUAGUAAUCAUGCUUUCUUUGCAAUGAAUGGAUGCUCUGUGUUUUCCUGUACCAACCCAUGUUCUAUGAUGGAAG